UUGCAGCCCAGCUUGAGCGGAAAUCCUUUUUUGGGUCGUCAUCAGACGAAACAAAAAAGAUUGGGAGCGGAAGAUGGAUAAAGC
rnacentral:sRNA from 1 species